UGGGUCAACCUCCCACCCGUGUUUAUUUUACCUUGUUGCUUCGGCGGGCCCGCCUUAACUGGCCGCCGGGGGGCUUACGCCCCCGGGCCCGCGCCCGCCGAAGACACCCUCGAACUCUGUCUGAAGAUUGUAGUCUGAGUGAAAAUAUAAAUUAUUUAAAACUUUCAACAACGGAUCUCUUGGUUCCGGCAUCGAUGAAGAACGCAGCGAAAUGCGAUACGUAAUGUGAAUUGCAAAUUCAGUGAAUCAUCGAGUCUUUGAACGCACAUUGCGCCCCCUGGUAUUCCGGGGGGCAUGCCUGUCCGAGCGUCAUUGCUGCCCUCAAGCACGGCUUGUGUGUUGGGCCCCGUCCUCCGAUCCCGGGGGACGGGCCCGAAAGGCAGCGGCGGCACCGCGUCCGGUCCUCGAGCGUAUGGGGCUUUGUCACCCGCUCUGUAGGCCCGGCCGGCGCUUGCCGAUCAACCCAAAUUUUUAUCCAGGUUGACCUCGGAUCAGGUAGGGAUACCCGCUGAACUUAAGCAUAUCAAUAAGGC
rnacentral:rRNA from 1 species